rnacentral:rRNA from 1 species
UACGUAGGGUGCAAGCGUUGUCCGGAAUUAUUGGGCGUAAAGAGCUUGUAGGCGGUUUGUCGCGUCUGCUGUGAAAUUUCGGGGCUCAACCCCGAACUUGCAGUGGGUACGGGCAGACUAGAGUGCGGUAGGGGGUGACUGGAAUUCCUGGUGUAGCGGUGGAAUGCGCAGAUAUCAGGAGGAACACCGAUGGCGAAGGCAGGUCACUGGGCCGCAACUGACGCUGAGGAGCGAAAGCAUGGGGAGCGAACAGG